rnacentral:rRNA from 1 species
UACGUAGGGAGCGAGCGUUGUCCGGAUUCAUUGGGCGUAAAGAGCUCGUAGGCGGCUUGGCAAGUCAGGUGUGAAAUCUCCACGCUCAACGUGGAGGGGCCACCUGAUACUGCCAUGACUUGAGUCCGGUAGGGGAGUGUGGAAUUCCCGGUGUAGCGGUGAAAUGCGCAGAUAUCGGGAGGAACACCCGUAGCGAAGGCGGCACUCUGGGCCGUGACUGACGCUGAGGAGCGAAAGCGUGGGGAGCAAACAGG